CGAGGUGGAGCAAAUCCCUAAAAGCCAUCCCAGUUCGGAUCGCAGGCUGCAGCCCGCCUGCGUGAAGUUGGAAUCGCUAGUAAUCGCGGAUCAGCAUGCCGCGGUGAAUACGUUCCCGGGCCUUGUACACACCGCCCGUCACACCAUGAGAGUCGGGAACACCCGAAGUCCGUAGCCUAACCGCAAGGGGGGCGCGGCCGAAGGUGGGUUCGAUAAUUGGGGUGAAGUCGUAACAAGGUAAC
rnacentral:rRNA from 1 species